CUAAUGAUUAAUUAUUUUAAUGGCAAUUAGUUAUUAUAUUUAGUGUUAUAUAUCAUUUUUAGCUCACCUGGCCCGAAGGGCCAAGUGAGCUUUUCUCAUCACUUGGCGUCCGUCGUCGUCCGUCGUCGUCGUCGUCGUUAAGUUUUUACAUUUUGAAAUUCUUCUAGAGAACCACUGAAUGGAAUGAAACCAAAUAUGGCAUGAAUGUUCCUUAUGAGGUGCUGACCAAGUGUUGUUACUUUGUAGCCGAUCCAUCAUCCAAGAUGGCUGCCAGCGGGGGACUUAGUUAAACAUAGGACCCUAUGGGAAAUGGAUACAAAUGACUUCUUUAAGAGAACCACUGAAUGGAAUGAAACCAAACAUGGCAUGAAUGUUCCUUAUGAGGAGCUGACCAAGUGUUGUUACUUUGUGACCGAUCCAUCAUCCAAGAUGGCCGUCAGCGGGGGACUUAGUUUAACAUAGGACCCUAUGGGAAAUGCAUACAAAUGACUUCUUUUAGAGAACCACUGAAUGGAAUGAAACCAAACAUGGCAUGUUCCUUAUGAGGUGCUGACCGAGUGUUGUUACUUUGUAGCCGAUCCAUUAUCCAAGAUGGCCGCCAGCGGGGGACUUAGUUUAACAUAAGACCCUAUGGGGGAAAUGCUUACAAAUGACUUCUUUUAGAGAACCACAAAAUGGAAAGAAACCAAACAUGCCAUGAAUGUUACUUAUGAGGUGCUGACCAAGUGUUGUUAAUUUGUAGCCGAUCCAUCAUCCAAGAUGGCUGCCAGCGGUGGACUUAGUUUCACAUAGGACCCUAUGGGAAAUAUAUACAAAUUUCUUCUUUUAGAGAACCACUGAAUGGAAUGAAACCAAACAUGGCAUGAAUGUUCCUCAUGAGGUCCUGACCAAGUGUUGUUACUUUGUAGUCGAUUCAUCAUCCAAGAUGGCCGCCAGCGGUGGACUUAGUUUAACAAAGGACCCUAUAGGAAAAACAUACAAAUGUCUUCUUUUAGUGAACCACUGAAUGGAAUGAAACCAAACAUGGCAUGAAUGUUCCUUAUGAGGUUCUGGCCAAGUGUUGUUACUUUGUCGCUAUUCCAACGUCGAAAAUGACCGCCAGUGGGGGACUUAGUUUAAGAUAGGAUCCUAUGGGAAAUACAUACAAGUUUCCUCUUAUAGAGAACCACUGAAUGGAAUGAAACCAAACAUAGCAUAAAUGUUCCUUAUGAGAUGCUGACCAAGUGUUGUUAAUUUGUAGCCGAUCCAUCAUCCAAGAUGCCUGCCAGCGGUGGACUUAGUUUCACAUAGGACCCUAUGGGAAAUAUAUACAAAUGUCUUCUUUUAGAGAACCCCUGAAUGGAAUGAAACCAAACAUGGCAUGAAUGUUCCUCAUGAGGUGCUGACCAAGUGUUGUUACUUUGUAGUCGAUCCAUCAUCCAAGAUGGUCGCCAGCGGGAGACUUAGUUUAACAUAGGACCCUAUAGGAAAUACAUACAAAUGUCUUCUUUUAGUGAACCACUUAAUGGAAUGAAACCAAACAUGGCAUGAAUGUUCCUUAUGAGGUUCAGACCAAGUGUUGUUACUUUGUCGCCAUUCCAACGUCCAAGAUGGCCGCCAGUGGGGGGAUUUAGUUUAACAUAGGACCCUAUGGAAAAUGCAUACAAAAGUCUUCUUCUAAAGAACCACUGAAUUGAAUGAAAUCAAAUAUAGCAUGAAUGUUCCUUUUCUUAUGAGGUGCUGGCCAAUUGUUGUUACUUUUAGCCAAAUUUUAUAUUUUUUUUAUAUGAUUUCAAAACCCCAAGUAGAAUCAAGUGAGCGAUACAGGCUCUUGAGAGCCUAUAGUCUAUAUAUUUACAGUGCAAUAAUGAGUUUUUAAUUGCAUUUACACAAAAAAAUAAUUUUGAAGAAUGCAGUUGAAUUUUUCACUUUUUACUUUUAAUUUACAAAUAGACACAUUAAUACAUGAUUUCGUCACUCA
rnacentral:lncRNA from 1 species